GAUGAACGCUGGCGGUAUGCUUUACACAUGCAAGUCGUACGAGAGUUUUUAACUCAAGUGGCGGACGGGUGAGUAACACGUAAGAGUUUACCUUUAGGAGGGGGACAACAACUGGAAACGGUUGCUAAUACCCCAUAUGCUUUCGAGUGAAACGGUUUUUCCGCCUAAAGAGAAGCUUGCGGCUGAUUAGCUUGUUGGUGAGGUAAGAGCUCACCAAGGCGACGAUCAGUAUCUGGUUUGAGAGGACGAUCAGACACACUGGAACUGAGACACGGUCCAGACUCCUACGGGAGGCAGCAGUGGGGAAUUUUCCGCAAUGGGCGAAAGCCUGACGGAGCAAUACCGCGUGAGGGAUGACGGCCUAUGGGUUGUAGACCUCUUUUUUCAGGGAGGAAUCAAUGACGUGUACCUGAGGAAUAAGCAUCGGCUAACUCCGUGCCAGCAGCCGCGGUAAGACGGAGGAUGCAAGUGUUAUCCGGAAUCACUGGGCGUAAAGCGUCUGUAGGUGGUCCAAUAAGUCAACUGUUAAAUCUUGAGGCUCAACCUCAAAAUCGCAGUCGAAACUA
rnacentral:rRNA from 1 species